UACAGAGGGUGCAAGCGUUGUUCGGAAUUACUGGGCGUAAAGCGCGUGUAGGCGGCUAGGUGUGUCGGGUGUGAAAUCCCACGGCUCAACCGUGGAAGUGCAUUCGAAACUGCUUGGCUGGAGUUUCGGAGAGGAAGGCGGAAUGCUUGGUGUAGAGGUGAAAUUCGUAGAUAUCAAGCAGAACACCUGUGGCGAAGGCGGCCAACUGGACGAGUACUGACGCUGAGACACGAAAGCGUGGGGAGCAAACAGG
rnacentral:rRNA from 1 species